GAGCGUCAUUUGUACUCUCAAGCCUUGCUUGGUGUUGGGUGCUUGUCUUUGCUCUGCCUAGACUCUCCCUAAAUACAUUGGCAGCCGAUAUAUUGGUUUGAAGCGCAGCACAAUUGCUAUUCAAGCUUGUUGUAUCAGCAUCCACAAAGAAUUAUAACACCUUUGACCUCGGAUCAGGUAGGGAUACCCGCUGAACUUAA
rnacentral:misc_RNA from 1 species